UACGUAGGGGGCAAGCGUUAUCCGGAUUUACUGGGUGUAAAGGGAGUGUGGACGGCUGAGCAAGUCUGAAGUGAAAGGCGGGGGCCCAACCCCCGGACUGCUUUGGAAACUGUAUAGCUAGAGUGCAGGAGAGGUAAGUGGAAUUCCUAGUGUAGCGGUGAAAUGCGUAGAUAUUAGGAGGAACACCAGUGGCGAAGGCGGCUUACUGGACUGUAACUGACGUUGAGGCUCGAAAGCGUGGGGAGCAAACA
rnacentral:rRNA from 1 species